rnacentral:rRNA from 1 species
CCUACGGGUGGCAGCAGUGAGGAAUAUUGGUCAAUGGGCGUAAGCCUGAACCAGCCAAGUCGCGUGAGGGAUGAAGGUUCUAUGGAUCGUAAACCUCUUUUAUAAGGGAAUAAGGUGUGGGACGUGUCCUAUUUUGUAUGUACCUUAUGAAUAAGGAUCGGCUAACUCCGUGCCAGCAGCCGCGGUAAUACGGAGGGUCCGAGCGUUAUCCGGAUUUAUUGGGUUUAAAGGGUGCGUAGGCGGCCUUUUAAGUCAGCGGUGAAAGUCUGUGGCUCAACCCUAGAAUUGCCGUUGAAACUGGGCGGCUUGAGUCUGUUGGAGGCAGGCGGAAUGCGAUGUGUAGCGGUGAAAUGCUUAGAGAUCACGAAGAACCCCGAUGGCGAAGGCAGCCUGCCAAGCCAUGACUGACGCUGAUGCACGAAAGCGUGGGGAUCAAACAGGAUUAGAUACCCGAGUAGUC